UGAGGAAUAUUGGUCAAUGGACGCAAGUCUGAACCAGCCAAGUAGCGUGCAGGAUGACGGCCCUAUGGGUUGUAAACUGCUUUUAUAUGGGGAUAAAGUGGGGAACGUGUUCCCUUUUGCAGGUACCAUAUGAAUAAGGACCGGCUAAUUCCGUGCCAGCAGCCGCGUUAAUACGGAAGGUUCGGGCGUUAUCCGGAUUUAUUGGGUUUAAAGGGAGCGUAGGCCGUUUGGUAAGCGUGUUGUGAAAUGUAGGAGCUCAACUUCUAGAUUGCAGCGCGAACUGUCAGACUUGAGUGCGCACAACGUAGGCGGAAUUCAUGGUGUAGCGGUGAAAUGCUUAGAUAUCAUGAAGAACUCCGAUUGCGAAGGCAGCUUACGGGAGCGCAACUGACGCUGAAGCUCGAAGGUGCGGGUAUCGAACAGG
rnacentral:rRNA from 1 species